rnacentral:rRNA from 1 species
ACGCUCGACACCUACGAGAGGCAGCAGUGGGGAAUAUUGCACAAUGGGGGAAACCCUGAUGCAGCGACGCCGCGUGAGUGAAGAAGUAUUUCGGUAUGUAAAGCUCUAUCAGCAGGGAAGAAAAUGACGGUACCUGAGUAAGAAGCCCCGGCUAACUACGUGCCAUCAGCCGCGGUAAUCUGAGCGGGCUGGCAAGGC